rnacentral:rRNA from 1 species
CUGGCGGCGUGCUUACCAUGCAAGUCGAACGAUGAUCCCAGCUUGCUGGGGGAUUAGUGGCGAACGGGUGAGUAACACGUGAGUAACCUGCCCUUAACUCUGGGAUAAGCCUGGGAAACUGGGUCUAAUACCGGAUAUGACUCCUCAUCGCAUGGUGGGGGGUGGAAAGCUUUAUUGUGGUUUUGGAUGGACUCGCGGCCUAUCAGCUUGUUGGUGAGGUAAUGGCUCACCAAGGCGACGACGGGUAGCCGGCCUGAGAGGGUGACCGGCCACACUGGGACUGAGACACGGCCCAGACUCCUACGGGAGGCAGCAGUGGGGAAUAUUGCACAAUGGGCGAAAGCCUGAUGCAGCGACGCCGCGUGAGGGAUGACGGCCUUCGGGUUGUAAACCUCUUUCAGUAGGGAAGAAGCGAAAGUGACGGUACCUGCAGAAGAAGCGCCGGCUAACUACGUGCCAGCAGCCGCGGUAAU